rnacentral:lncRNA from 1 species
UUUUACAGAGUCUCUGGAAAUGGUCAUUCAAGUAAACUGCUUAGACACCAUGUGUGAGUACUGGAGUCUACUUUUCCCUAAUGAACUGAGUCAAACAUGAAGAGAGUCUCACAGAUAAAUUUCCUGCUGUCAGUGGCACAUCAGGGAAGAUUAAUAAGAGAUGAAAGAAUAACUCCUCCUCACAAGAAACAGCAGAUGUUAUUCGGUGCUUGCAAAGCAAAGGAGAUGGGACUGACAGAUGAUGCACUCAUCUUUACUGAGUGUGAUUCCUGACACCUAGCAUGGUCUUCAUUCACAAAGGUAAGCUUUAUCUUUACUAAUCAGAAUUUGUGGUAUUUUAACAGGUUUUAUUCCACUUAUAUCACAGAUUGUGCCCUUUAUUUGUGUGGAGCAAUGUUUCCUGAUACAGUGUGUUUUUUAUGUAUCCUCUGACUUGAUUGAUAUUGAUACACUUACUGUAAUUCUUUCACAAACUUAUCAAGCUAUGUUUUCUAAACUUAAAUCAGAGAAACAAAGUGCUUGCUUACCAGUAUGAGUCAGUG